rnacentral:rRNA from 1 species
CAACGUGGGUAACCUGCCUUAUAGUGGGGGAUAGCCUUUCGAAAGGAAGAUUAAUACCGCAUAAGAUUGUAGUAUCGCAUGAUAUAGCAAUUAAAGGAAGCAAUCCGCUAUAAGAUGGACCCGCGUCGCAUUAGCUAGUUGGUGAGGUAAUGGCUCACCAAGGCGACGAUGCGUAGCCGACCUGAGAGGGUGAUCGGCCACAUUGGGACUGAGACACGGUCCAGACUCCUACGGGAGGCAGCAUG